rnacentral:rRNA from 1 species
AGCGGCGGACGGGUGAGUAAUGCUUAGGAAUCUGCCCAGUAGUGGGGGAUAGCCCGGGGAAACCCGGAUUAAUACCGCAUACGCCCUUUUGGGGAAAGCAGGGGAUCUUCGGACCUUGCGCUAUUGGAUGAGCCUAAGUCGGAUUAGCUAGUUGGUGGGGUAAAGGCUCACCAAGGCGACGAUCCGUAGCUGGUCUGAGAGGAUGAUCAGCCACAUCGGGACUGAGACACGGCCCGAACUCCUACGGGAGGCAGCAGUGGGGAAUAUUGGACAAUGGGGGCAACCCUGAUCCAGCCAUGCCGCGUGUGUGAAGAAGGCUUUCGGGUUGUAAAGCACUUUCAGUGAGGAGGAAGGCCUUAAGAUUAAUACUCUUAAGGAUUGACGUCACUCACAGAAGAAGCACCGGCUAACUCCGUGCCAGCAGCCGCGGUAAUACGGAGGGUGCAAGCGUUAAUCGGAAUUACUGGGCGUAAAGCGCGCGUAGGUGGUUGAGUAAGCGAGAUGUGAAAGCCCCGGGCUUAACCUGGGAACGGCAUUUCGAACUGCUCGACUAGAGUGUGGUAGAGGGUAGUGGAAUUUCCUGUGUAGCGGUGAAAUGCGUAGAUAUA